rnacentral:lncRNA from 1 species
GUGGCAUAUGGAGGUUCCCAGGCUAAGGGUCAAAUCGGAGCUGUAGCUGCCAGCCUACACCACAGCCACAGCCAUGCCGAGGUGAGUCUGUGACCUACACCACAGCUCACAGCAACGCUGGAUCCUUAUCCCACAGAGCGAGGCUAGGGAUCGAACCUGCAUCCUCAUGAGAUUCAUUUCCACUGAGCCAUGAUGGGAAUUUCCAGAAUUUAUGAAACAAUUCCUCCUUUCUCUUCAUCAUGCAGUAAACCCUCUCUCAUGUUAGGCUCUGCGUCUAGACUAUUCUGUUCCAUUGAACAGUGUGUUCCUACACUAAUAACCACAUGGUCUUAAUUAGCAUAGUUUGAGUGCAUUUUAUAUCUGGAAAUGCAAAUCUCCUCUGAUUAUACAUCAUUUUCAGAGUUCUCUUGGCAAUUCCAGCUGGCUGGUUCUGUAAGAUUUUGAAAAUAAUUCAACAUUUCAAAAACAUAAGAAAGAAAGAAAACCGCAGCUGAGACGUUUAUUGUACGGGGGUGAAAUGAUACAUGGCUUGGAAAGAACUGACAUCUUGAUCACACUGGAAGAAACUGGCAGCCCUCAUCCCCCUUUAUUUCUUUUUUGUCAGUUGAUACAUUUUUGUCAUUUUCUUCAUAUGCAUUCUACAACACUUCUCGUUCUGUUAUUCCUAUACAUCUUUCUUUAUUUUUACUCACAAGGAAACUACACCAAGCAAGGAACGUCUGAAAUAAUAUGCCUAAAUCUCAACACCACAUCAUGAAGGAUACGCUUCUCUCUCCAGGCCCUGACAGAGCAAAUGAACAGAAGGAUGAAUGGCGAAUGAGUGACAAAUGGGUCCAAAAGCCUAGUGAUGAAAAAGAACUGGGUUGGUCAAACCACAUCGCAGAUGCAUGAUGGUUCUCUCAUGAUCAAUAUCCACUUCACACUUGCAAAAAAAAAAAAAAAUAGCUCAUCUUAAAAUACUCACACCACUACCUCUGCUGGCUCAGUGUGGCGUGGUUCACUCUCCCCCGAGGGUAGACUCCCCUCAACCCCACACAAUCCAGGCUCCCUGUACACUCCCACCCCCUACGCUCUCCUCCCAGUACACUCUCCCCCAGGGUACUCUCCCCGCCCACCCCAUACACUCUCCCCCCGCAGGGUACACUCUGCCCCUCAGGUAUAAUCUCCCCCCACCCCGGACACUAUCCCUGCAAGGUACAUUCUCCCCUACCCCGUGUACACCGCCCCCCACCCUGGGUACACUCUUCCCAGGACUCCCAACCUUCCACCCUAUUCCAGGGGUGGGCACAGGCAAGCAAGGUCCUUCUGGGAAACUUCAGUUUUGAGCUGAAGGACAUUGGCCUUUGGAACUAAGUCAGGAUGGCGUUGGCCCUGAUGGGCAUCAUAAAAAGGAGGUUUGAAAUAAAAGAGAAUUGUCUUGAGGUAUCAUCCGCAUGCCAUACGACUGACCCAUUUAAAGCGUGUGACUUUAUGGUUUGCAAUACACAGAGUUGUGCAACUAUCACCCCAAAAAGAAAGCCUGUGGGCAUUCUGACUUAUUUUAAAUUGUGGUAAAGCACACACAUAAAAUUUAUCAUCUUAACUAUUUUCAUGUACAGUUCUGCAGCGUGACAUACCCUCACACUGUUCCGCCAACCAAUCCCUAGAACCAUUUCAUCCUGCAAAACUGAAACUGUACCCAAAAAACAACAACCCCUCCCCUCCUCGCCCCUGGCAACCAGCAUCCUACUUUAUGUUUCUAUGAGCUGGACCACCCGAGGUGCCUCAUCUAAGUGGAAGCCUGCGGUGUUUGUCAUUCUGUGACUGAUUUACCUCACUUAGCAAAAUGUCUUCCAGGUUUAUCCAAGUUGUAGCAUGUGUCAGACAUUACAGGCUUUUUUAAAGGGAAGAGAAGGCGGGCAGGAAACAGGGAAGAAGGGUGGAGACCAGCCAUUGGGAGGCUGCUGCCCUGGUCACAACAGGAGACAAAUGGCAGUGGCCUCCCCAUAGCAGUGAUGGGGAGAAAGAGCAGGAGAUGGAUUCACGGACAUCUGGGGUCAGUGAAAGACACUUCAAGACAGGAGGACGGGACUUGCUGAUGGAUUUGAUGUGGGGCUAAGGGAGAGGAUGCUCCAGAAUAACACCCUGAGCACCUGAGAGAAGCAAGACUGCAGGGCACAGAUAUAGGAGGGCGGGAACACUAGAGGCAAGUAGCCCCCGGGAGCUACGUCUAAAUAAGCCUGAGAAGAAACACAAGCGGCUGGCCUCUGGGAGCUCAGGGCCGCCCUGGGAGGGAGUGUCUUUUCUUAGCCAAAAUGAGUUGAAGGUCAUGCUGUCACUUUACAGAGGCAGUAGUAAAAAAUCAACCAAUCACACCUGUUACAGGGAAAAGAGCCAUUGCUUAGGUUUCCCAAGUCAAGGCUAGUUGUCAAAGCCAUUGAAAAAGUGAGGAAGGCAUACAGAGAGUCUGGUCUUUCAGCCAAGGCCUAGCACGUGACCUAAGAGGUCAUGUCUUCAGCCUGAGCCUGGCUCUACCCCCAAAGAGCCCUAAGGUCACAAGCUAAUCAUACGUCUUCAAGUGUCUGUUUCCUUUAUUCCAAAGUCAAGAUAUGGAGUUCCCAUUGCAGCUCAGUGGAAACAAAUCUGACUAGUAUCCAUGAGGAGGCAGGUUCGAUCCCUAGCCUUGCUCAGUGGGUUAAGGAUCCAGCAUUACCAUGAACUGUGGUGUAGGUCACAGACAUGGCUCGGAUCGGGCGUUGCUGUAGCUGUGGUGUAGGCCAGCGGCUACAGCUCUGGUUUGACCCCUAGCCUAGGAACCUCCAUACGCCAUGGGUGCUGUGCUAAAAAGACAAAAAUAAAUAAAUAGUAAAUAAGUAAAAUCAAGAUAAACAAGCAACCUUUCAGGAUUGGUGGGAGAGUCAACGUACAACAGAGAGGAGGGAGAGUGUACGUGAGAGACUGAGAGAUUGUGUGUGUGUGUGUGUGUACACAUGCAUGUGCAUUACAGUUUAGGCAGGUGCACUGGGUGGUUUCAGUACUAGACAAGGAGUCAAAAUACCUAGUUUCUACACUAGUUCUGCACUAACUAGUUAUGUAACAACAUACAAGUUACUUCCUUCUCUUGUCUUGGGCUUCCUCACUCAUUCAAGUCUCCAGGAGAGCUGAUAAACUGACUUGCCAACUAGCAGCAGGGAAAGGUAAGAGCCCACCCAUGAACACUGCAAGCCCCAAAGGUUGAGGUGUUCAUUCUAUUAGGUUUCUCCUGAGACAUGGGAUAAGGAUCUAAAGUAAGAAAGGUUCAGAGAAAUUCUGAUCAAGAAGCAAUCAGACCCCAGCUGCCCUCUGCCCCUCUGCAGAGCUGAACAUUGAACAUUUUUUUUUCUUUUGCUUUUUAGGGCCGCACCUGCAGCAUAUGGAGAUUCCCAGGCUAGGGGUCCAAGUGGAGCUACAGCUACCAGCCACAGCCACAGUCACACAGGACCCGAGCCACAUCUGUGAAUUACACCACAGCUCACAGCAAUGCCAGAUCCCUAAUCCAAUGAGCAAGGCCAGGGAUUGAACCCGCAACCUCAUGGUUCCUAUUCAGAUUUGCUUCCACUGUGCCACGACGGGAACUCCGAGCACUGCACAUUCUCACCUGUGGCAAACCGACCUGGGAGAUGCAUCACAGGACAGCCCAUAUUAGAGGGUCUCUUCAUCGAAAGACCGCAGCACUGGUUGCAGGCGAGGGUAACUCAUAUAAAAUAGAGGGUUAAAUAGAGAAUUAGGCAAACAAAGGAGGAUUCUGAGAUAAUCACACAGAUACACACCCCAGCCUUCUCAUCCCCACUGGCUCUCCAUAACACCAACAGUCUGCCCUUCACUCUCCAGGCAGGAGAUGGUAGUUGCUCUGAAGAAUCUGAGCAACCAAAGAGGAAAGCCCAGAAGAUAUCAACACUGAUUCUCUUUUCUUGAGUUAACUCGGGUUUACAAAGCUGUAUACAUUUUAUGCAUAUAACAUGACAGGUCGACUUCUGGAUACGCUUGGCUCCCAUGCACAUGCACCACCACCAAACACCAGGUACUAAGGAAAACAGUAUGGCAACUCCUCAAAAAAAGAACCAAACGAUCAUGGGAUCCAGCUAUUCCAAUCCUAGGUAUUUACCUAAAGAAUGGAAAACCAAGUCAAUAAGACACAUGCACCCCUAUGUUCUUCGUAUUAUUGUUGUACUAUUGUCAUUAUUUACCACAGCCAAGAUAUGGGAACAAUCUAAGCCACCACUGAUGUAAGAAGGGAUGAAGAAGAUGUGGUCCAUAUGCAGACAAUGCAACUACUCAACCAAGACUGAUUUUUAAACAGACAACCCAGCCACAUCACCCUACAGGGAGACUUGGCGUCAACAUGCCCUACCCACACACCAAAGCCUACAGGCAGCUUCAAAGUCCUUCUUACAGAUGAACCAACAACUGCGUAUUAUCAGACACUGGAGGAAAGCUGUGAACAUGAAAGACAAAGAUCAAAACAGAGGGGGAAAUGAAGUGAGAAACUGGGAAGCAAAAAGACUCUACAGGGAGGGGAGAAAGCAAAAAUAAUUUUGAUUAAUAUCCUCAGAGGGAUAAGAAAAGAUAUUGCAACUAUGAAAUAUAAGUAGCGUGGUACCAUAAAAGACCAUCUGGAAAAAAUUUUUUAAAGUCUUGGGAAGUUAAAUUUAUGUACAUGUGUAUAUUCGAACGAAUAAACAUGUUUCCUGGGGAGGCAACAGUGGAAAUGGAUGGAUGGUGGGCAAGAUGAAAACGAAACUCUCUAUUUAGACUUUUUUGAACGAUGUGAAUGUAUUAUCCACUUUCUCCUUUAAUGGUGUCUAAAUAUCACGGGACAUCCCUGAACGGGCUACUUAGGUAGCUGAUGGCUUACACAGAUGUUUCAGGGCCACGUGGCAACCCAGUCAUACCCAGAACACUAGUUCCAGGGCAAAAUGCAUCCAAAGCUGCCUAAUGAUUCCCUUAUAAACCAACAAAUUUCAUAGACCUCAACUGAAACUGCUGACAUGAAAUAAGAACAAAGGAAGGAAAGCAGGGAGGGAGGCCACGGGUCAGCUUGUGUCGUGAUGACAAAAUACAAUAGCCUGGGGGCUUCGACAACACAAAUUAAUGUUCUUGCCGUUCUGGAGGCCACAAGUCCGAGACCAGGGUGCCAGCAUGGGUGAGCUCUGGCGAGACUCUCCUUCUGGCUUGUCAAUGACGCCCUUCUCACUGUGCACACAUGUGGCAGAUGGACAAAGAAAUCUAUCACACUAGGACCCUCACCCUUCAACUUUAAUUACCAUCUAAAAGCCCUGUCUCCAAGCACUGUCACCAUGAGGGUUAGGGCUUCAGCAUCCGAAUUCUGGGGGAAAUAUAAUUCAGGCCAUGCAUGGCCCGAGAAUGUAACUGAAAGUCAGAGUGUGUACACUGAGCGUUUGGAAGGAUGCUCAUCAAAAAGCAAAACCAAGACCAACAGGAAUGAACGGGUACCUGGGCACUCUUGGUGUGUGCCAUUGGCUGACUGGAUCAGGGGUCAACCCCUGCCACCUGCUCUUCAGGCUCCUCCUUACACACCCUCGCCAAUCUCCCCAAGUACCAUUGUUAAUACUAUCUGCACCCUUCCUUGUGAGCAAUCACCUUACAGAACCUGGAAUUGAAUUUUAAAUCUAAACCUCAUUAUGGCAAAGGACUGACAUAAAUGGAAGUGGUCCAGAGCAUUGGAAGUUACAUUGUAUUCUCUUGUACCCAAAUUCAAUUCAAGCUUUAUUCUUCUAAUCGGCCCGUUUUAUUUUUUCCCAAAAGCCUAUUGCUCCAAAGCAAAUGCCAGGAAAAAAAAAAUAGUCUAACUAAUAUGAAAAAGAAAGAUAAAUGUCUUAUGAAAAUGAUGUCUAUUGACCCAGAUCCUGCUGAGUGAGCAAGCGAAUCCUUGGGUGCAAACGAGGCACUUAUUACUGCUAUGCAAGCCUCCGGAGGCUUCAUUUCUUACAUGCCUGUCGGAGGGCACUAAUAGUUCUUUAAUAACCUGAAGAGCAAGGGAGUUUUCUAACAUGACAGCUGAUCCUCGUUCACUGGGCAGAAAGUGGCUGAGCCUUCCUCACGACUGUGGCUGUGAUUCUGGAUGGCAACGAGUGAGGCUAAAUCAAAUGUUCAACAUCAGAGCAUCUGAGAAGAAACCCGCCCGACGGAAGAGUGGUGAGGUUUCUCCCAUCUCGUUAUCAUCUUCCUCCCCGUUUUCUCAGGCCACAGGAUCAGCCCUCGAGGCAUCUGCCACUGAAGUAUCUGCAGCACAGUAUUCCAGAGAAAUUGGGGGCACCAGGCAGAGGGUCUGCCUCCGCUUCCAGCCCAGAGACCCAGCCACGGAACCAACCUCCUUUCUCCAGCCUCUGUUUUCACAGAUGCAAGAUAAAGGGAUUGAACCAAGGUUCUUUUCACUCCCCAAGUCUGUGAUGCCAGCGUUUAUCAAAUCACGCUGCUCAGGGAGAUAAAUCCCAUCAGAAGUCUUAGCCACCUGCCAGGCCUGAACCACUGCGCACCACAGAUGAGUGGCAAGCCAAGCGCACGUGCUGGCUCCCCAUGCACAGGGAGGGAACAGGAACGCGGCUAAUGGGGCAGCUUCGUCAUCACCUCAGAGGCCCUGACCUCGGGUUCCAGUCACACAAGGCUGACAGCUGUGUCUUAUGCCGCAUGGAUGACAAACCAAUCCACUGUGCACGGGCCAUUGACUCC